ACUCAAAUGAAUUGACGGGGGCCCGCACAAGCGGUGGAGCAUGUGGUUUAAUUCGACGCAACGCGAAGAACCUUACCCAGGCUUGACAUGCAUCGGACGAGUGUGGAAACACACUUUCCCUUCGGGGCCGGUGCACAGGUGCUGCAUGGCUGUCGUCAGCUCGUGUCGUGAGAUGUUGGGUUAAGUCCCGCAACGAGCGCAACCCUUGUCCUUAGUUGCUACGGGUAAUGCCGAGCCCUCUAAGGAGACUGCCGGUGGUAAACCGGAGGAAGGUGGGGAUGACGUCAAGUCCUCAUGGCCCUUACGCCUGGGGCUACACACGUGCUACAAUGGCCGGUACAAAGGGUUCCGAAACCGCGAGGUGGAGGCAAUCCCACAAAACCGGUCUCAGUUCGGAUUGCAGUCUGCAACUCGACUGCAUGAAGUUGGAAUCGCUAGUAAUCGCUGAUCAGCAGGCAGCGGUGAAUACGUUCCCGGGCCUUGUACACACCGCCCGU
rnacentral:rRNA from 1 species